GCUUUAUUUAUAUAGCACCAAUAAAACAACAAUUGUUUACCAGGGUGCUGUACAGUAUAUCAAACUAACACCAUGUACACCAUAAAUUACAGCACAAAACAAACCAGACACAGCACACAUCAACGACAAUUAAAAGCCAGCGAAAAACGAUGGGUUUUGAGUUUUGUUUUAAACUCAUGUAGUGUAGAGGCAGUUUUAAUAAAAACAGGUAAACUAUUCCAGAGUUUUGGUGCAGCAACAGCAAAGGCUCGUUCUCCUCUUGAUUUCAGUCUAGCCCGAGGAAUGUUUAACUGUCACUGGUUGGAAGACCUAAGAGACCUUCCAGGAUUAUGAACAGAUAGUAAAUCAGUAAUAUAUACCGGAGCUAGACCGUUCAGAGCUUUAAAAACCAGCAACAAAACUUUAAAAUCAAUUCUGUAACGAAUUGGGAGCCAAUGCAAAGAUAUCAGCACCGGGGUAAUAUAAUUUACAAUUUACAAUAUGUUUUUGAAGCAUUGAUUAUUGUAGCCAUGUAUUUGCAUACACUCUUAGCCCGGAUUUUAUAUUUACUUAAACUAUAUAAUUACAAUAUACUUAAAAUAUUUAAGUUUGAUUGCAUUACUUAUAAAAUAUAAGUAUAUUCUACUAAAUUGUGGAUGUAAUUUGAAUGUGUUAAUAAAUUUAAGUUAAAUGCACUUAAAUUAUUACGUUUUUCUCCUGACCACGCCUCUUACACAUUGGUUUACGGCAGGUAAUGACGCCAUUUUGUCGUGGUGUGUGUGAAUUCAAGGAGCUGUUGAUGAGAAGUUGGAACAUUUGUUUUGGCAAGUUCUACAGACAUUUUUUUUCCAAACAUUUGCCUUUUUUAUCGUUUCCCCCCUGAGAGACUGUUUGUGAGCAGUGAAAAUCGUUUGUUAAAGUUUAAACGACGGAACUGUUUUCUCCGGUUAGCUAGUGUUCUCUCUCGCGUGCGGUGGAUCACCGUGCAUGAACCCCUGAUCGGCGAGUUCGACGCGCGUUAUUUCGUCGUUUGUUUCUUUUUCACACGAGAAGCUGUUGUUGGGCGUGUAAACUUAGUUUGAACCUCUGGCUGUCGGCGAACACUGCGGCCGCGCCCGCGCCCGCGCUUCCAGCAGAGGAGAGAGGAUGAAGCGCGAAAAUGGUCAAGAAGAGAUGCUUUGGAUUAGAAGUAAAAGUUGUCAACGACGAGCCUGACAUCAGCCUGAUGGUACUUCAAUGGCCAGCUCUUUCUACAGUAAACCAGGUUGCAGCUGACAAGGACUCAUACAGGCAAACUUCAGUGAGAAUCCUCUGUGUUGAUCUAUAAAGUGCUCAGCUAAACCCAUCAUGAGUGAAGAUCGUCUCGGAAGGAUGUUUGGUGAUGGAUGAACCGACCAACCUCAGGACUUCUGUGUCCUUUUUUCUGACUGAUUUAUGCCCUGCAACUGGACUACCCUAACUGUAUGAAAAAAUCCUUUAUAUUUUAUUCAGCAGGUAAUGCUCAACCUAGGAAAAUGUGAGCUGGCACCUAAAAUGGAAUACUGCCACUAUUGUGAACUCAGGAGUGUGAACAAACCAUAUAGUUUUGAUGCAAUUUGUUGUGAUUCUGAGAUAGACUAUUUAUGUGCUUAACAAUAAGCUGAUUUGUUAAAAGUAUUUUUUUCACGUUUUA